UAAAACAAUGAAGAUUAGGGUUCAACAUUGGGGGUCGAUUAAACUUCUUCUCAAACUCUCUCCUUCUCGUUUUCACCUCUUUCAAAACGAAAGAAACGGCGGUGGCGGAGACUUCAUCUUCUCCGACCAAACCGAUCCCUCCGGCCACCGUAAAUAACACACCCUCGUCUCCUCUCUCAGACCUCUCAAAUUCUCACCUCUAAUGCCUCGAAUUUCCUCCCAAACUAUCAUAGUCAACCCUAGAUCUAACCAAAAUUCAAUUAAACCAAGACGGUGAUGACCUAGAGAACGAGGCCAUGGGGGAAGGAACUAGGAAAUCUCGAUCUUCACGGUGGUAUCAAGAAUGUCGAAAAAAGAUUAAGUUUCAGGGAUUGAGUAAGCUUACCUACCGGAGAACGGUCCGGCGCCUCUUCGACGGCUGUUGCUGGCGAAAUAAACGCGUCGGAAAACUUCACGUCCGAUGAAUGUGAGUUGAAGCUUCUAUGUGGAGAAGAUCGUCGUUAAUGAUGUCAUGUGGUUGCAGAGGUGAGAAGAUGUGAUGAUGAUUGCGGUUGAAUUUGUUGCGAAUUGAAGAUCAAUGUGUGAAGUCGAAGAUUGAAGAUGAGAGAUCCUGGGAGUGAGAAUCUUGUGAUUCCUCUGAGAAGUUUUGGUGAACGAUCUCUGAAGAUGAAUGGAGGUGAUGAUGAGUGAAAGUGAAGAUAAUGGUGGAGAGCAAAGAAUGGUGAAGAUUGAAGCAUAAGGUGUGUGAUGAAAAUGGAGGAGUUUGGUUCAAAGUUGAUGAAGAUUGAUGAUUUGAUGAAGAGAGAGUGAUGAAUGAAGAAGGUGAUUGAAGAUGAAGGUUAUGGAUUUUUGAGAGAGUGGUGAAGAGGCUCUUUGAAGUGUCGUGACUCUGAUUUAUAGAGGUGAGGGAAGGUUCUGUGAUUCCAGGUUAAUAUUGUGAACCAGGGGUGAUUCUCAUGGUCAAUAGCACAGUGACCUAUAGCAUUCACCAAAUGCCUAUUCCUUAAAUAAAGUAACACCUUCAAAUUCUGAUCGAUGUUUUUGCUCUGAAAUUGUGUGGAUCUGAUGUAUAGACUGUGUUAGACUUUAUUUACAUUGUGCAGGAUGUUUGAACAUGACUUGGUGUUGAGUACUGUAGGGAGGUGUUUAUGUACAAUUCUGUUUUGAAUUUUUGGUUUAUGGUUUAAAUGUGUGAACUGGUUUAUGAACUGGUUUAUUUUCUCUGUAUUGCAGGUUGGUGGCAGCUUGGUUCAAAGACUUUGGCAUGAGGGCAUAUUGACAAGUGAUGGAGUGGAAUUGUCAAGAAGUUACACAGGGUUGAAACUGUUAGGUGUAGGAUUAGCAAGCAAACUUUUUUUGUUUUCUCUUUUGAAAUAAGCUUGAAUUGUAAUGGAUAACUUGAGUGUAAAUCCUUAAUGUAAUGUAUUGAAACAUGUACAAUGAAAACUUCUUGUAACAGCUUCUUGUAUGUGGAAUAAAAUUAUUCUUGAAUGGAA